AGAGCACCGCGGAUGCCCGGAAGCAGCUCUUCGAGGAGCUUCUGUGGGAGCAUCGGGACCUUGCCGAGGCCCACAGCCACUGCCAAGCUGUUCCGGAAGCUACCAUCGAGGCCCUCAAGGCCCAGAUUGCCACGCUUCAAGGCGAGAAAGAGCAGCUCAUCAAGGAGCACCACGAGGCACUGGACGUCCAGAAGACCGCCUCGAGGGAGCUUAAGGAACAAGCUAUGCAAGCCGCGC